GCCGCGGUAGUCUAGCCCGGUCUAGAGCCUUCGCCGAGAGGAUGGGGGCCUGUCGAGCCCCUGACCCGGGUUCAAAUCCCGGCCGCGGCGC
rnacentral:tRNA from 1 species